AAGAUGUUAGUAAAACAUAAUUACACUACCUUGUCAAGGCAGAAUUACUGGUUAAAAUCCUGUACAUCUUA
rnacentral:tRNA from 1 species